GGGUUGUUGCUCAGUGGUAGAGCACUUGCCUAGCAUGUGAAAGGCACUGAGUUCGAUCCUCAGCCCCA
rnacentral:tRNA from 1 species